UACGAAGGGUGGCAAGCGUUACUCGGAAUUACUGGGCGUAAAGCGUGCGUAGGUGGUUCGUUAAGUCUGUCGUGAAAGCCCCGGGCUCAACCUGGGAAUGGCGGAUGGAUACUGGCGACUAGAGUGCGGUAAGAGGAGAGUGGAAUUCCCGGUGUAGCAGUGAAAUGCGUAGAAGAUCGGGAGGAACAUCAGUUGCGGAAGGCGGCUCUCUGGACCAGCACGUGACACUGAGGCACGAAAGCGUGGGGAGCAAACAGGA
rnacentral:rRNA from 1 species